rnacentral:rRNA from 1 species
CAGCCGCCGCGGUAAUACGUAGGGUGCAAGCGUUAAUCGGAAUUACUGGGCGUAAAGCGUGCGCAGGCGGCUUUGCAAGACAGAUGUGAAAUCCCCGGGCUCAACCUGGGAACUGCAUUUGUGACUGCAUGGCUAGAGUACGGUAGAGGGGGAUGGAAUUCCGCGUGUAGCAGUGAAAUGCGUAGAUAUGCGGAGGAACACCGAUGGCGAAGGCAAUCCCCUGGACCUGUACUGACGCUCAUGCACGAAAGCGUGGGGAGCAAACAGGAUUAGAUACCCCUGUAGUCCCUGUCUCUUAUAC